CGUGUCCGGAGCACCCAUGGGAUUUCAAAUUUGUGUCGUCGCCAUUUUGUAGUUGCAGAUAACAAGCAGCUCGAGCUCAAGCUCCAGUUCAGUGCCGCUGAGUUGCUUCCACAAGUUUCUGCGAAAUCGCAUAUUUCUGCGCUUAAAAAUAUCGAAGAAAUGCUUCGUUGUCGCUGUUUCGGCAGCAGGGCAAAGGCGCUGAAAAGGAAGUUUGACAUAACUUCAGAAGAAGUGGUCGUCUUUCAUUGCUGUCCUCAUGCUAUCGGACCACGUGGACAUCUCUAAUGGCGGAUGACUACUUCUGCAUUAACCUUGUAAAAGAACCGGAUGAAUCGUAUCCCAUCAGAUGUUGAAGACAGUCGACAUGUCCCACAACAGACAAUGAGCUGCCAUGUUGGUUUGAGGGAAAACACAUUUUUAGAAGGGUGUAGUUUAUACUGUAUGUACUAUUGAUUUGAACAUUUACUAAAUGAUCCAGUCUGGUCCAUAAGAUACAUCUGAGAUACAUACAGAGGUGGAUUUUGGAUGCAAUAGGAUUAGUGGGGCCACUUUAUACUUGCGCGGUCGACAAGACCCAAAUUGCCCCACGCAGCACCUAUGCGUAAUUUUCACCAAAGAGAUAAUCCCUUGUGAUGGGUGCGUUUUAGUCACAUGUGAUGACAUGUUUGCCCUUCUUCCCUGCUCCACGUACUACCUAUGUACCACCGCCUUCUUGAUCAAGUUUGCAGCAUAAUCAAACAUAUCUGGUCAUUUAGAUGCUCAAGCAGACAUUCUUCCAGGGUUGCCGUUGUUUUGUUUUGCGUUACGGAAAGUAAAAAUGGCUAUUGCAAAUGACCAACGUGUGCUGAGGAAACUCCUUGCUGUGUCGUACUAGCCAUAGCGACACCUGUAUUUUCAUAACUGCAGGCUUGGGAGAGCUACAGUGAUCUCAGCGCGCCAGUAUAAAGCCUUUCGUCAUCCUUUUAAUCCGUUUUACAAGUUUAGCUUUUGUCUUAUAAAACGAAUGAGUCAAAUUGCAGCCAGGGAAAGAGUAGAAUCUUGUUUACAUGUUUUCCCCAACAUCAACAUGGCGGCUACUUGUUUACAUUGGACAUUCACUGAGGCCCGAUUGACUAAUUCCACUUCAGUUCCCAUCAGGAGGAGGAUGUCUUCUGGCAGGACAAAGCUGAUGUUACCUGUGGCAACAUACCAACUCAUCUCCUGGCAAAACUGCCACCUUGCCAGGAAUUUGAUGCAAUGAUGAUGAAACCUAAAGGUGCAACUUUAGUGUGCACCCAACCCAAGUGUAUUCAGAGUGACAGAACAGUUUGGUUGGGGAAGGAUGUCAUGUCAUAUUUGAACAUUUGUUAACCAACAAUUACAAUAAAUACUAGCUUAGAAUGAAUAAAAUAUCUGAAUGUAUGUUUUGU